AUAUCAAUAAGCGGAGGAAAAGAAACUAACAAGGAUUCCCCUAGUAACUGCGAGUGAAGCGGGAAAAGCUCAAAUUUAAAAUCUGGCGGUCUUCGGCCGUCCGAGUUGUAAUCUGGAGAAGCGUUUUCCGCGCUGGACCGUGUACAAGUCUCUUGGAACAGAGCGUCAUAGAGGGUGAGAAUCCCGUCUUUGACACGGACUACCAGUGCUAUGUGAUGCGCUCUCGAUGAGUCGAGUUGUUUGGGAAUGCAGCUCAAAAUGGGUGGUAAAUUCCAUCUAAAGCUAAAUAUUGGCGAGAGACCGAUAGCGAACAAGUACCGUGAGGGAAAGAUGAAAAGCACUUUGGAAAGAGAGUUAAACAGUACGUGAAAUUGCUGAAAGGGAAACGAUUGAAGUCAGUCGCGUGUGCUAGAACUCAGCCUUGCUUUUGCUUGGUGCAUUUUCUAGUGUACGGGCCAGCAUCAGUUUUGGCCGCCGGAAAAAGGCCUUGGGAAUGUGGCACCUUCGGGUGUGUUAUAGCCCUUGGUUGUAUACGGUGGCUGGGACUGAGGAACAUAGCAUGCCUUUACGGCGGGGCUUCGGCCACCUUCAUGCUUUGGAUGCUGGCGUAAUGGCUU
rnacentral:rRNA from 1 species